CGCUGGGCGGCAUGCCUAAAACAUGCAAGUCGAGACGGUAACGGCCCGUUCGGGGGUACACGAGCGGCGGACGGGUGAGUAACGCGUGGGAAUCUACCCAAUGAGGGAUAAGCAUUGGAAACGAUGUCUAAUACCGCAUAUGGUCUUCGGAUUAAAGCUUCGGCGGUUUGGGAAGAGCCCGCGUAAGAUUAGCUAGUUGGUGAGGUAAAGGCUCACCAAGGCGACGAUCUUUAACUGGUUUGAGAGGAUGAUCAGUCACACUGGAACUGAGACACGGUCCAGACUCCUACGGGAGGCAGCAGUUAGGAAUUUUCCACAAUGGGCGAAAGCCUGAUGGAGCAAUGCCGCGUGCAGGAUGAAGGCCCUAGGGUUGUAAACUGCUUUAUACGUGAAGAAUAUGACGGUAACGUAUGAAUAAGGAUCGGCUAACUCCGUG
rnacentral:rRNA from 1 species